rnacentral:rRNA from 1 species
AUGGCAGCUCCUUCAGCACCUCCAUGCCGACACCGACACCAGCUCGGCGCGCUGCCAAUGCAGGACCAGCGACCCGGCGCGCUUCUCCACGCGGAAGCCCCUCACCGGCACCUUCUUCAGGAGCGAGUCGGCCUGCGCCUCGGCGAAGUUGCUUAUGUGCACCGGCACGAACCCGGCCGAGGUGAACAUUGUCCGCCAUGGCAGCAGCUUGUCGCCGGCGGCCGCGGCCUGGUGCCUCCUGAUCACGCAGCUCUCGAUCUUUGGCUGGAUCAGGAAGCGCUCGAUCUUGCUCGCGACGUCGGGCUCGGUGCCCACGGCGUCCAGGGACUCGAGCAGGAACGCGCAGGACUGGAAUGCCUGGAGCAGGUGCGCCGCGAACGGCAGCUCGCCGCGGUCACCACUGCGGUCCACCGAGAUGACAAGCUUGGCGCCGAGCCGCCUGACCAGGUGAAGGACCGAUGGCACCGCGGCGGCGUGAACCGAGCCGACGGGAAGGUGCACGGCGAUGGCGUCGCCGCCGGCAAUUGCGAGGAGCUCCGUGGGGUCGACGGAGUCGAGGUUGAACACGACGAACUGGAAGGGCACCCCGAGCUCGGCGGCGAAGUUGGCGAGGUUCUCGUGGAUGAGCUGCAGCUCCAGCGGGUGGUGCGUCGACGGCAGCACCAAUGCGGUCACCUUGAGCGCGGCGCCGGGGCGGCGCUGCGCCAGCUCCUGCAUCAGCGACGCCCACUGCUCGCCGACGCCGAUGUCGAAGUCGAGCACGUGGAUGCAGCCGGCGCCGCCGAGCUCGUCGAGCACGGCCUGCACGCAGGUGAAGUGCGCGAACUGGAGCACCGGGGAGAGCUCGGAGAAGGCCUUGUAGGCGCCGAGCUUUAG